UAGUACGGCGAGUGAAGAGGGAAGAGCCCAAGAUUGAAAGCUGGCGUCUUCGGCGCCCGCAUUGUAAUCUCAAGAAGUGUUUUCCGCUUCGGACCAUGCCUAAGUCCCUUGGAAAAGGGCAUCAUAGAGGGUGAUAAUCCCGUACAUGGCAUGGAGCGCCCGAAGCUUUGUGAUACGCUUUCUAAGAGUCGAGUUGUUUGGGAAUGCAGCUCAAAAUGGGUGGUAAAUGCCAUCUAAGGCUAAAUAUUGGGGAGAGACCGACAGCGAACAAGUACAGUGAUGGAAAGAUGAAAAGAACUUUGAAAAGAGAGUUAAACAGUACGUGAAAUUGCCAAAAGGGAAGGGUAGGAGGUCAGAGAUGCGGCCUGGGAUUCAGCCUUGCUUUUGCUUGGUGUUUUUCCCAGAUUGCAGGCCAACGUCGGUUUUGGGCACUGGAGAAGGGUAGGAGGAACGUGGCACCUCGCGGGGUGUGUUAUAGCCUCCUACUGGAUACAGCGACCGAGACCGAGGACAGCAGCGUACUCGCAAGAGCGGGCCUUCGGGCACCUUUACGCCUAGGGCGUUGGCAUAAUGGCCCUCUACCACCCGUCUGA
rnacentral:rRNA from 1 species